GUCAGUAGCCAUAUCACCCUGCUAUUCACAACUGGCAACCCACUGAAGCUAAGCAGGGGUGACUCUGGUCAGUACCUGGAUGGGAGACCUCCUGGGAAUAACUAAGGUUGCUGCUGGAA
ensembl:rRNA 5S_rRNA 5S ribosomal RNA